UUUAUAUAGCACCUUUACAGUAGCUUCUCAAGGCGCUUUACAUAAAACAAGCAAAUGAGAAUACAACACACACAAAGCAAAACAAGUUAUACAUAUACAUAUAUAUAUACAUACAAAAAAUAAAAAUUAAGACAAUCAAGAAAAAGCUACCCUAAAAAAAAUGUGUUUUUAAAUACGAUUUAAAAAUACUUAAAUUCUGUGUAUCUCUGAUGUGAGGAGGGAGUGCAUUCCACAGCCUAGGAGCGUUGGAUAACUGUACUGUGUACAAAGAGUUUCACAAUACGACAAAACAUUUUCAGUAAAAACUUUUUGAUUUAAAAUAAAAUGAAUAAAUGUUGUGUUUGUGGUAACAGCCGUGGAUCCGUUGCGCACUGCAAACGCGGCACAUGUGAAAGAGUGCAAGCUGCUCCUGCAUCACAUACUGCAAACGGAGUAUGUGUGAACCUGGUGUAACACAUCAUUCGAAACUGUAAAGCGUCUAUUUUUAUUCAUGUACAUGCACAAUAAAAACAAAACAUUGUGCUUUUGUAAAAUUAAGUAAACAAACAGGAUGCCGCUUUCUGCCAUCCCUUUUUUUUCUUGAAGUUUGUGGAGCGCGUCACAAAAAUGAUUCAAACUCAGUUUAUAGGCUACAAGCAUGCCGUCUUAACUUUUGUUAUUGGUUGAUGUAAAGAUCGUCUCUUCUUCUUCUGUUCUUUUUCCUGUUGUGGUGAAUAACAAACAGCGUUGCAUUAACGCACGCGCCCCCUUCUGGAUUGGAGUGUGGAUCGCCUGUGUAUUUGUCAUCUGACUGUAUGCAGACAAACCGUGACGUCUGUACCACGGUGAAUACAUGUUUUUGUAUUUGGCUGCUGACUGGGGGCUUUAAGACAUUAAUGCACCAUUUUCUCUAAAGCUGCUUUGGAACAACAUGGAUUAUGAAAAGCGCUAUACAAAUAAAAAUGACUUGACAUACUGAGGGCAGGGUCCAGUAUAGAGCAGCUGGAGGAAAACUAAUCCUGGUAAACACAGUUUCCCAUUCACUUACUAUGGGGAAAACCAAGAGACAACACAUUUACAUUUAUUCAUUUAGCAGUGACUUGAAAAUGAGGAACAUCACAAGCAAUUUGUCAUAAGAGCCACAAUACUCAUAGUAGAGUUGCUCUGAAACAAGCUGUACUGUAUAAAGCUCUGUAGAAAUAAAGCUGAUUUGACUUGAGACUCGACGUCAGAAACAGUAGAAAAUAUUUGCACUUAUAGUUCAUAUGAAGAACAGUUUUGGUUGAACAUUGAAUCUCAGAGAAUAGGUCACAGAAACACCAGCCGCUCGUGCCGUCCUCGGAGGACUCGUGACAGGUUGUGAGGUUGAUUCAGUCGUGCUGAAGGGAAGGUGAUAAUUACAGCCUGUGACUCCCAGUGUGUCCGAAUCCCUUUCCUCGUUCUCUCAACCUGCCCAAACAGCAGCUCAAUUAAACUUCUCAUCCUUUCAGUCUCUGCAGAAGCUUCAGAACAACAUUACAGUCAACAGCACAGCAGAACUGACUGUUCACUUCCUGAAAUCACACUUUAUCAGUGAAUACUAUUAAUAGUAUGUGUACUUUCUAGCAGCUCCCUAUUUAAAUUACUUUGUCCACAAUAUGAGUCAUUUUCAACCAAAUUCUUUUCCAUGAUAUAAUUCAUUUUCAACCACAGUAAGGAAUGCAAUUACAUUAGAGAAAUUCUGCCUGAAAUCGGAGGUGCCACUAAAUAAAAUUGAAGACAUACCCUAUAUUUCUCAACAUUGUCGCUUAUAUGAGUUAGGAGCUCUUUGCUAACCAGUUAGUUUUCACUUAAUACAACUGGUCAUAUAUCUUCAUUGAUGCUUUCUGAGAAUUGUUUACUCUUGUUUACAACAAAACAUAACAUCUUAAUCCCUUAAUUACUUUUUCCAGGUGUGUGUCCAAGCACCAGACUUUUCACCUGAGAAAUCUGAUCUUGUUUUGAGAAUCAUAAUGGAAAAGAACUGAAUGAUUUAAAUCUCGCAAUAGAACAAAACUGAGCGACAUUUAAAUCUCAUAACAACAAAACUGAGCAACAUUUAAAUCUCAUAACAAAGCAAAACUGAAUGACAUUUAAAUCUUGUAAAUGAACAAAACUGAGUGAAAUUUAAAUCUCGUGACAGAACAAAACCGAGCGACAUUUAAAUCUCCAAAUAGAACAAAACUGAGCAAAAUUUAAAUCUCAUAGUAGAACAAAACCGAGUGACAUUUAAAUCUCGUAACAACAAAUCUAAGUGAAAUGUAAAUCUCACAACAAAAACACGAGCAACAUUUAAAUCUCGUGACAAAAAAACGAGAGACAUUUAAAUCUCAUAGUAGAACAAAACUGAGUGACAUUUAAAUCUCGUAACAAAACAAAAAAGAGCGACAUUUAAAUCUCGUAACAGAACAAAACUGAGCGACAUUUAAAUCUCGUAACAACAAAACUGAGUGACGUUUAAAUCUCGUAACAAAACUGAGUGACAUUUAAAUCUCGUAACAAAAAACGAGCGACGUUUAAACCUCGUAACAUAACAAAAAAGAGCGAUAUUUAAAUCUAGUAACAAAACAAAACAGAGUGACAUUUAAAUCUCGUAACAACAAAACUGAGUGACAAUUAAAUCUCGUAACAAAACAAAAAAGAGCGACGUUUAAAUCUCGUAACAGAACAAAACUGAGUGACAUUUAAAUCUCGUAACAGAACAAAACUGAGUGACAUUUAAAUCUCGUAACAACAAAAAAGAGCGACAUUUAAAUCUCGUAACAGAACAAAACUGAGUGACAUUUAAAUCUCGUAACAAAAAACGAGCGACGUUUAAACCUCGUAACAUAACAAAAAAGAGCGAUAUUUAAAUCUAGUAACAAAACAAAACAGAGUGACAUUUAAAUCUCGUAACAACAAAACUGAGUGACAAUUAAAUCUCGUAACAAAACAAAAAAGAGCGACGUUUAAAUCUCGUAACAGAACAAAACUGAGUGACAUUUAAAUCUCGUAACAGAACAAAACUGAGUGACAUUUAAAUCUCGUAACAAAAAACGAGCGACGUUUAAAUCUCGUAACAGAACAAAACCGAGCGACAUUUAAAUCUCCAAAUAGAACAAAACUGAGCAAAAUUUAAAUCUCAUAGUAGAACAAAACCGAGUGACAUUUAAAUCUCGUAACAACAAAUCUAAGUGAAAUUUAAAUCUCGCAACAAAAACACGAGCAACAUUUAAAUCUCGUGACAAAAAAACGAGAGACAUUUAAAUCUCAUAGUAGAACAAAACUGAGUGACAUUUAAAUCUCGUAACAAAACAAAAAAGAGCGACAUUUAAAUCUCGUAACAGAACAAAACUGAGCGACAUUUAAAUCUCGUAACAACAAAACUGAGUGACGUUUAAAUCUCGUAACAAAACUGAGUGACAUUUAAAUCUCGUAACAAAAAACGAGCGACGUUUAAACCUCGUAACAUAACAAAAAAGAGCGAUAUUUAAAUCUAGUAACAAAACAAAACAGAGUGACAUUUAAAUCUCGUAACAACAAAACUGAGUGACAAUUAAAUCUCGUAACAAAACAAAAAAGAGCGACGUUUAAAUCUCGUAACAGAACAAAACUGAGUGACAUUUAAAUCUCGUAACAGAACAAAACUGAGUGACAUUUAAAUCUCGUAAAAACAAAAAAGAGCGACAUUUAAAUCUCGUAACAGAACAAAACUGAGUGACAUUUAAAUCUCGUAACAAAAAACGAGCGACGUUUAAACCUCGUAACAUAACAAAAAAGAGCGAUAUUUAAAUCUAGUAACAAAACAAAACAGAGUGACAUUUAAAUCUCGUAACAACAAAACUGAGUGACAAUUAAAUCUCGUAACAAAACAAAAAAGAGCGACGUUUAAAUCUCGUAACAGAACAAAACUGAGUGACAUUUAAAUCUCGUAACAAAAAACGAGC